rnacentral:tRNA from 1 species
UUAUAAAUCAGCUAAAUAUAAGCUGUUAGGUUCAUACCCUAAACAUAGAGUAAAAUUCUUUUAUAUA